rnacentral:rRNA from 1 species
AAAUUGAAGAGUUUGAUCAUGGCUCAGAUUGAACGCUGGCGGCAGGCCUAACACAUGCAAGUCGAACGGUAACAGGAAGCAGCUUGCUGCUUCGCUGACGAGUGGCGGACGGGUGAGUAAUGUCUGGGAAACUGCCUGAUGGAGGGGGAUAACUACUGGAAACGGUAGCUAAUACCGCAUAACGUCGCAAGACCAAAGAGGGGGACCUUCGGGCCUCUUGCCAUCGGAUGUGCCCAGAUGGGAUUAGCUAGUAGGUGGGGUAACGGCUCACCUAGGCGACGAUCCCUAGCUGGUCUGAGAGGAUGACCAGCCACACUGGAACUGAGACACGGUCCAGACUCCUACGGGAGGCAGCAGUGGGGAAUAUUGCACAAUGGGCGCAAGCCUGAUGCAGCCAUGCCGCGUGUAUGAAGAAGGCCUUCGGGUUGUAAAGUACUUUCAGCGGGGAGGAAGGGAGUAAAGUUAAUACCUUU